CUAAUAAUACAACACGCACCCACUAUACACACAUAUACAAACACGCACAAAUACCCACACAGCUCCAUUAAUAAACUUCUCUCCGCCACCAUAGAUAAAGUGUGCAUUCUCUACAGAGAGUAAAUAACGUGCCUCCGUAUCUCGUCCCAAACAUUUUCCGUGCUGCGAAGGGUCCGAGCUCGCUCGCAUUCGACACGGUCGCGUACUUUUCUCGUCGCUGCCCUCGGUAUCACGGAACGAGAAGUCUUCUCUCUAUGUGAACUCUGUACCUGCACCAUUCGACUUUGAACAGUCGAUGGGACGACAAGCGAGCAACUUUAUCUCUUGUUUGUUUGGAUAUAUAUCAUGACCUCAUGUAAACGUGUACGGAUAUCUCCAACGUGUUUAUAGUAUUUGACUAUAUCUGUACAUGAUUAUAUGGUAUAGAUACAUUGUUGUAGAGCUAACACCUAGGACAUACAUCUAGUAUACUGGACCAAAAUUCUACAAAACUUUACUUAAUUUCACUGAAAUUUGCAAGAAAUUUCUAAAACCGUUUGCGUGUUGCUGUUGGUUUCCUCGCAGUCAGGAGCACCCUUCAAAGCUGUUGGAUGUUUGCUUUUGUCAAUGAAUGUAAAUAAGAAGGACAGUACAUUCGUGAACUUUCUGCUGCGAUGCGUGACGAAACAUAUUCAAGAUUCAACCUGCACUUGUGAUUGCGGACAAGGAUUCCUUACACGCUGCAUUCGUUAAUUGCUUGUUUUUCAAUUGAGUAUCGUUCUUCUAACAUGAUUCCCGAACG